rnacentral:rRNA from 1 species
UUCGGAUUGCAGGCUGCAACCCGCCUGUAUGAAGUUGGAAUCGCUAGUAAUCGCGGAUCAGCAUGCCGCGGUGAAUACGUUCCCGGGCCUUGUACACACCGCCCGUCACACCAUGAGAGUCGGGAACACCCGAAGUCCGUAGUCUAACUUUCACGAGAGGACGCGGCCGAAGGUGGGUUCGAUAAUUGGGGUGAAGUCGUAACAAGGUACC